GUGAAUCAUCGAAUCUUUGAACGCACCUUGCGCUCCCUGGCAUUCCUAGGAGCAUGCCUGUUUGAGUGUCGUUGAACUUUCAGUUGUGACCAAUUCAAUUGCAUUGCAUUGAUCAGGGGGGGGGGAAGGUAGCAGCUACUUCCCAUCACUUGGCUUCUGGAUUGUGGAGGAUGCAAUGCUGCCCCAAUUGCCCAAUUGGGGCCUCCUUUGCUUCUCUGAAAUGGAGUGCCGUUACGACUGCAUUGCUUGUAACGUUGGGGCCGCGGUCAAGAUGAACCUGGCACCGGUAUGAUACACUCUUCUUAUCUGCAUCUGGUCCAUGCGAGCCGUGUCCAAUAUUUGACCUCAAAUCAGGCAGGACUACCCGCUGAACUUAAGCAUAUCAAUAAGCGGAGGA
rnacentral:rRNA from 1 species